GGUUGAAUAAUGGUGAGAAUACCUUUGGUUUGCAGCGAAGAGAGGUAUUUAAAAUUAGGUCCCCUGGUCUGUGGGAAAGGUAGUACACCUAGAUGGGUAGGUAAUUAAGCAAGCAGCAAAAAGGAACGGGAAGUAGUUAGGCUGUAGACUUCGAGGGAAAGCCGUGCGGAAUGGCCCAGAGGGAAUGUCCGUCUGAUGUCUGAACACAGGCUGGGGUUCAGUCUUCUCGAACUUGCCACUGGAGAGACAUUAUAGGCUUCCAGUGUUCUAUUACAUCACAUGCCUGAUCAUUUCCUCUUCUUGCCAUGCAAAGGUGUCAGGUUAUAGCAAUGUCAGUUAUCCCUUCAAGCCACACAGGCUGAAUGUGGUAGGUGUGAGCUUAAGUGUUGUGGCCAUACUGUGUCCUUCCUCCCUCCUUCCUCCUCCCUCUUCCCUUCUCCUUCUCUUCUUCCCCUUCCUCCUCCCAAUUCCUCAUCUGUAAUUCUCUCACUUCGGCCCGCCUUCCAAGAACUGGGAUUCCCAGUGUUUACCAACAUACCCAACCACUUCCAUUUCCAUAAGGCAUAGAUCCCCUCUAAUUGUUUUCUUAACUUGGUCUGGUGUUGAAGAGAAUUUUGCUGCAAUGGAAGGGCUAAAUUAUUUUUAGAAUUAUCUAGGACUGCCUGACCACAAUCUGGGGAGGGCAGAUGGAUUUUAUUCAGACUACCUGAAAAUAGACAGAACACUCGCCACCUGUCACUUGUAUGUGGUUUGCAGAUCCAUCCCUUUAUACCACAGCAGAGACUAGUUGAACCUUUCUAAAACAAAUAGUCGGCCCUGGGACUUCGCAUCUUUUUAGCAUCCACACGAUCAAAGUGCAGCUCUCUCUCUCUCUCUCUCUCUCUCUCUCUCUCUCUCUCUCUCUCAAUACACACACACACACACACACACAUAUUCCACAGACAAUGCCCUGACAGUGAAACAAAGAUACAUGCUAGACCAGACUCCUUCCAUCCGGCCAGGUGGCCAGAUGGGGACAUCUUGCCUUCGCAGGAUGCUUCAGGCAUCCUCUAGUGGUAUGUGUUUGCAGAGUGUUCGGGAUGCUGAAGUCUUCUCUGUGUUCGGGUGUUUUCCACAGCGUUGUCAAACAAAACGUUUCAUCUUUGUUAAGGACCUGGGGGAGGGGCUAACAGUCAAACCAGAGACCCAAUGACCUGGUGGAGGGCUGAAUGGGAGAGUUUUCUGGGGAAGUGUCAGGUUAACAUUAACUAGCUCCAGACACUGUAGUGCUGAAGUCCAGUCAACCCUGGUACCUCAAGGAUGAUGGUGCAGGCAGUGGACUACUGCCUUUAUUUUUAGAGAUGAGUAUUAUUCCUUAAGCAUAUAGAAUGUGUUCAGUUAAACAUGAAAUAUAUUUGGUAGGGUACCUAAUUUCUCUGUGUGUUUUGCUCAGUUUUAUCGAAUUUGCUGCUAUGAGGAUAGCAAACACUGUUUUCUGAUCCCUAAUUAUAUCUAGGCAUCAUCAAAUUUUAGUAGUCUGGCAUUAUGGAAAGAGAGACAACCAUGGAUCAGAGUUUAAAAAACUGGUAUGUGGGCCAAAUCUUGUACACCAGUUUCUUUAAGUUUUUUUUUAACCAUAUAUUAUAGACAGUGAUGGGUUUCAUUAUGACAUUUUCAAAAUUAUGCAUACUAUAUUUUAAUCAUAUUUACUUCCAUUUCUCUACCUUGACUCUCUACACUUUCUGAUCCUUUUUUUCGUGUGUGUCAUGUAUUGCAUUUAAUCAGGGCUGCUUGCAAAAGCAUGGGUGAGAACUGUUUACAGGAGCAUGAGCCCUUACCAGUGCCUAUACCUUGAAAGGAAAUGUCUCUGCCAGCAAACAUUAACUGCCUGUUGAGCUCAGGGAGAGGUGGGGCUUUAGGAAUCCCUCUCUACUUCAUGGCUGGGUGGUGAGAGGCCUAAUCUUGAGAUAGUUUUGUACGAGUAAUCACAGCUGUGUGAGUUCAAGGUUGAAAUGGCCUUGCCAUACCUUGGAGACAGCAUUCCACAGCAACUUCUUCCUUCGUCUCCUACCACUCCCUCUUCUCUGACGUACCCCGAAUCUUGACAGGAAUGAUAAAGAUGUCCUAUUUAUGGAGUAGUAGUCAACAGUCACUUAUUCUCAGCACUCUGACCAGCUAUGAGUCUCUAAUGUUACUGCUGCCCACUGCAAAAAGAAUCUUCCUUGACCAAAGCUGACAGAAACAAUAAAUCAUUCUCAUAAAUGUAAACAUUCCUACCAGUGGCUCUCAACCUUCCUAAUGCUACACCCCUCUACUACAGUUCCUCAUGUUGUGGUGACCCCCAACCACAAAAGUAUUUUUAUUAAUACUCCAUAACUGUAAUUUUGCUACUGCUAUGAAUUGUAAAUAUUGGAUAUGCAGGAUAUCUGAUAUGCGACUCCCAAAGUGGUUACAACCCACAGGUUGAGAACCUCUGAUUUAGAGGGCAAUUUGAAGGACACAUCCUCAUGUCCACAGCAAAAUACCAACACAGCGUACCCACUAUAGAACCCAUUACCUCAAUAGCCAUGGGCAUUUGACCAUUAAAUAACAGAUGUGAUUUCAGGUCUCCCAAUCAAUUAAAGAGCAAUUGUCAUCACCUACCAACAGGCUUGCAACUAUUGUACCAGUGGGCACAACUUUCCUGGCAUCAUAGUAUUUAGUGUUUUCACUAAGAUUCACCAGUUGUUUUUGUAAAUAAAGCUUUAUUGGAACAUAUUUAUGCUCAUUUGUUUAUGUCUCUUUUCUCUCUCUAACUGCAGAGAUGAGUAAUUAUGAUAGAGACCAUAUGGCUUGAGACAUUUCCUAUCUGAUACUUUACUAAAACCAUCCAACGAGCUCAUGAAAUUUACUCACUCAUUCAUUUUAUCGGUUGCCACCUCUGUUAAUGAGACUGUUAAAGAGGAGUAGAGCUGUCCCUGAAGUCCAAAGACUUAUACUCUAACAUAGACAAGUCAACCACCAUCUGACAAGGCAGAAGGUAGUAUGUACUAUGAAGAGAAAGAACUAAGUUGCUAUGGUAGUUCAGAGAUGGUGGGGCCCCAAUGGAGAAAAGGGAUUGAGCCCUGUUCUGAUAGUACUUGGCAUAACUGUGGCUGUCAGUAAUUUCCCAAUAGGAACGCCAUGAGACAUAAAAAGCCACUUCUUACAUGGAAUUUUAUAAAUUGUAGUAGCGAAUGGGUUGAAGUGGGUUCGGAUGUUACUGUGUGUGCAAAUGUCUUUAUCUGUAUGCAAGCUUCCUGUCGCUAUGGGGAUAAUCAUAACGAUGUUUGAAGAGUCAAAGACAGGCUUUCGUUGCUCGGGCUGUGAUAGAAAGAAAUCCUUUUCCUCUUUCACUGACUUUUCAUUCAACAAAAUAAAAAUAAAUGCUGUAGAUCUCAAAGGACUUUGAAAGAGAGCCUACUCAGCCAUCAAUGGACGUCUUAAAAAGAAGAUAAAGUUAUAGAAUGCUAGCCGUCCAGUGGUGCGACUCUUCUGUAGAAUUCCAUCAUGCCUAAGUGUAAAUGAGCUCUCCGUAAAUCCUCAUUGGCCUGUUGACUCCCUUUAAGGGUCCAGUCACCAACCCCUGUAUGCACAGAGCCCUGUUCAGAUGGAGACUGCUGAGCUUACAAUGUACCUCGAACCCGUUUGAGAAUGGAUGUCUUACUCGUGUUCAUUAAUGCUUUGCUUGCCUGACUCCUUCCCUUCCUCAGUUCAUUUCCGGAGACAGGUAACCCAUCUCCCCAACUGACCUCAAGUCACACUGUAGUUGAAGAUGACCAUGAACUUGUGAUCCUCCUGCCUCCAAAAUUCUGGGAUUACAGGUAUAUAAUAACACCGCACUCAGUUUCUAGAAUUGAUACUGAGUAUCAAACCCAAGACUUUGUGAAUGCCAGGCAACGCUCUACCACUGAGCUACGUCCCCAGCCUCCGUCCUGUGCCUUGGAAACACUCACUAUGUUGACAUGAGUAUAGACAGAUGCCAUACAUUCAAAUUAGGUGACUGAUAUGGUAAGGGACUUUAGAACAUCAGGUUACUUUCAAAGUGAGACAAGAUUCCUUCAGUUCUGCUUCCAGCGGAUAUCAGAACUGUUGGCUAAGCUCCAGCCACUAAUUCUCUAUACACCAAAGGGGCCAGAGCUAACGCAACACAGUCUUGACUUAAGAUGUGACUGUGAAGUAUUUACCCAGGCAAAGCAUAAUACUUUGGUAAAGUGAGUGCAUUUGUGAGAAAGCUACUGAAAGAAACUAUCAAAUACUCAAUAAGGUAAGAGAGGUGUUUGAAGAAGCAUCAAGCCCAAGCAGUGCAAGUUCCUUGGAGUCAGAGAAGCCCUGCCAUUAGCCAUCUGACUGCACUGACUGGGAAGCCACCAUCUCUUUUUACCCAGAAGCAGAGCCCAGUGUGGUCCCAUACUUUCCCAUGCUCUCCAUAGCCCAGUUGCCUGUAGAACAGAGGCUGCCCCAGAUAGAGUGAAAGGGAGAAGAGCAAAGCAGCCCUCUUUGCAUGAGAAGCAUUUCAGGGCACUUACUGACAAGGAGUGCACUUACUGCUUACACAUAUAGGGCUGCAUUAUAUCAAAACUGUCUAAGUACACAGAGGCCCCACUGUCCCCUUCAAGCUCCACGGAGUAUUUAUGAAUGGGUUGCUUCCCCAUUUCCUCUGGUGUCAGAGGCAGGGAAGUUAGAAAACAUUACCGCUUACACAGGGAGGGAAGGCUGAAACUGCCGGUCUUUGCAGCCUGCCGCAGCAGUAACCCUGCUGACUUCCCCACUCACCCUCCCAUUGCCCUGCCUCCCAACCCCCUCACCAGCCUACAGGGCUCGUCCUGAGUUUUUGAUUUCCAGGGAUCACUUUUGAAGAUCCCGCAAUGCUUAGGUGAUAUUGAAUUACUGAUUAUCCUCUGGUUCUGUUCCCACCGGAGGCAUUCUGGUCAGCCACUCAUUCCUCCCAUUGAAAGCACUUGGUGGCAUGAACUCACUGGGUUUCUGCCCACAUCACUGCAUUCCUGGGAUACCAUUCACAGGCCUUAGCAAGAUCAUCUGACAGCUGCCUGUGAGGUCAACGAACUCUCUGCAUAAUCAAAUGCUCACAGCCAGGAGAAAUCCUUUUCUGCUCCAUCCCUCCUUGGGCAAAGAAUACACGUUACACGGCCCCUUGGUUCCUUGGUGAGGAGGUUAUGGACGUCCCCAGCUAGUUUUACAUGAUUUAAUGCUGAGCAGAGAAGGAAAGUGAUUGUAUCCUCUACUGGGCCCCACAGAACAGUCACCACCCACACUGUUUAUUCAGACUGGGAUCUUGGCCAUUUGGGGUUUAAGCCAGAAGAAAGGGGGGAAAACCAACCCUGGAAUGAACACUUUUGAAACUCUGUAUUCAGGAUGAAAUGCGGCCAAGGAUUCUUUUUAAAAAUCUAUUUAGAAUCAAUUAGCAGGAUCAUAUUUUCAUUUGGAAUGGAUUGCUAGCAAAAGCUAAUUGUCUGUUCUCACCCGGGUUCUGAGCUUGGGGGAGAGGCACAGACAUUAGAAUCAACCCUCUUGUUUUGCCGGAGUCUGAUGCUACGACCAAACUAUGUGUGGGCAGUUGGGCAACCCUGACCUUUGACCAGUUUCCAUCUGAGAACAAGGAAAGAGGUGUGAGGAAGAGAGUCUGAUGUAAACAAGCCUGCUCUGCAUCCCAGAGCUUCCCUGGGAAGACUCCUCAGGAGCUUAGCCCAAACUGAAGGCAAGGGGCGGAUCACAGGCCUGGGGCGGAGUCUCCAGGAGGUACCGCCUCCGUCUGUCUCUAGUCGGGACUGCCGGGACUGCAGAAAAUUACCACAGACAUGGGAGAUUGUAUCGUCGUUUUAAAGAUCUCGAGAGGAGAUUCCGGGACCUCCCAUGGUUACCCACCUUGCUAUUUAGCAGUUUCUUCCGCCAGAAAAUUCCUUCUUAUUUGCAGCUUCAAAUGUGCAUGUGGUGCUGCUUCGGGGAGAGGCUCCUGGUCCAGACCACUCCCACAGCCUGUUUACUCCUCUGACGGGAUGGAGCCCAUUACUGGCUUCUUCAAACCGUCAGGGGCUUAGAUCUCCUUCUAGAACAGUCUAUAGGCAACCCAAGAUGGAACAGGAGAGAGGGUAGGCUAGGGCCCUGAGUAAUGGCAUUGUUGGAGAUUAAAUAGGUUAAUGGACACUACUGGGCAUUGUGUAUUUAUGGAGGACUGAAGAGCAAAGUGACAAGUAAGAGAGUGAGCCUCACACCCUCUGCAUGGGGAAGACGCUGAAGUUCCUGCUGCAGAUUUUAAAAGAAAAGGAAAAGGAAUGGCCCCCAAACAGAGAGACUAGGAUUGCACUGGCUCCAGGACUCUCCCCCUAGUGUUCAAUACACAGAGCUGGGUUGGGGAUGAGGCUCAGCGCUGUGUUUGCCUAGGGUGACAAGGCCCUGGCCUCACUCACCAGUAAACUGAGUGCGCUGUAUGCUGCUGCAAUGAUCUAUUCUGAAAAAUGCAAUCAGCAAUUCAAAUAGCAAUUUACAAAUCAAACGCGUGGAUAUAACAGAAACCAAAAUAUACUGAGGAGUGAUGGUAGAAAAAUAUGAAAAGUCUUUGUUUCCAUAAUUAGACUACUAGUGUUUCUAUAAAAGCAGACAGUAUUGAGUGUACAGAGUGAUAUUAGCUUGUGAUCUUGAAGCUGAGGUACUUCUAACAUUGUGUGGUGUGGCAUCAUGUCUGCUGCCAAGAACACGGGAGUUCAGAAACAAGGCUGUGGUGUGACCAAAACAGGAACACUGCAAAAACGCUAUGAUUCAUUUCCCAUUUGAUCUUGAAUUAAUAUUGGGUCAUAGGAUGUACAGAAAUCAUUCACUGUUGACAAUUCUUGUGACCCUCACCCCAUAGGGGUCUUAGCUUAGGAAAAGUGGAUUCUGUAGCAUACCUACAGCCAUUGCUGAAGCUGUGAAAUCUCUGUGACAGAGUUAACCACAUCAUCCAGGCAUGCAUGCAUGCAUGCAUACAUACAUACAUACAUACAUGUAUACAUGCAUACAGCAGGUACAUAUAUAUGUAUCUGCUGACAUUGUGCAUAUGUCCAUAUUUUAUGGACAGCAUGCUAACUUUGCUGGUCUCUUGGUUUGAAAAUUCUAGCUGAGUUUUUCACCCACAGUUACAUCUGGGUGCUCCUAUGGGGAAUAAGUAACCCAAUCUACACAUUCUAUGAAUGAAUUGAUUAGUAUAAUAUAUGCUUCUAACCCUAGCAUUUGUAGAGGCAGGAGGACCAGAAGUUUAAGGUCAUCCUCAGCUACAUAGUGAAUUUGGUAGUAGCCAGUGACACACACACACAUACACACACACACACACAUGCACACACAUACACAGUCACACACAUUACAUACACACUCACACACAUACACACACAUGCACACACAUACACAGUCACACACAUACGCACACACUCACAUACUCACACAUACACACACACUCACACACACUCACACAUACACACAUACCAAAACAAGGGAGUUCAGCAAUUAAGAGUAUUUUCUGCACUCAUAGUUUCCAGCAUCCAUGUAAGAUAACUCACAACUGCCUGCACAUCUACCUCUAGGGGAUUUGACACCCUCCCUGUCUUCUGCAAGCACACUGCACAUGGAACAUGCCCUCAUAAAUGCACACACUAAUAAAUAAAAGUCUAAACAAAAAAA